GUAAAGUCCUGCAGGUGGGAAUGGGAGAUGAUGCCAGGAGAGGAUAGGGGAAGCUCAUCAGCAGAAUAAAGUGGGUGAGUACGGAUUAUUCACCAAUAGGUUGUAGAUGUAGGAAUGGGAGGUGCGUUAGAGGUCUUUAUAGGUGAGGGUAAGUAGUUUGAAAUGUAUUCUGGUAGGAAUGGGAAGCCAUUGGAAUGUUUCACAUAGAGGUAAUGCAGCAGAAGAGGGAUGGAGAGAGGAAUAUUAGUCAUGACCCUGCAUUCAGGACAGACUGCAAAGCAGACAGAUGUGUGAAGGCAUGCCAGAGAAGAAAUUACAGUUAUGAAGGUAGGAAGUGAUUGGAGAAGGUCUUGGUGAAAUCCAGGAAGAUGAAAGUGCAAACCUUGGAAAUAUUCUAAAGAUGGAGGCAACAGGAAUGCACCAGGAACUGGAUGUAGGAAGAGAAGUUGCAGACUGGAGAGGUCGUACAUAUGUACACUCCAAAAGGGCUGGGCUGGGUUCGCGGGCAGGUUCUAAACCAACAGCUUGUCAGAUAAAGGCCUCUUCAAUUGCUGGAUUUUACUGGGUGGGUAAGCUGCUGCCUGACACUUGAGACCAGAAGACUAUGGAUAAAAAUAGCCUCUGCAGCAUCGUGAUGAACGCCAGGCAGCUGAGUCAAUUUUAAAGUGGACUUGGGUUGUUUAACACAGAAUUCAUAAAUUGAAUUAUUAUUAUUUUUUAAAUGUAUUUGUUAAAUAGUUCAUUAGAACUAUACUAUUUAUGCUUUACACCUACAGAACUAUAAAAGACCAAAUAGUUAUUUGGAGAACGGUUAGAUUUAAGGACUAGCAUCGACUACUGGAAAGGGUACAAGUAAGAAUACAUCUAAAAUGAAAGCAACAGAUACAGAUCACACCAUCUACAUGUCCCCUGAAUGGCUCUGGUAUUCAAGCACAGUAGAACUUUAAAGGAGCAGAUUCAAUUAGCCGCAGUGUUUACAGCACAGCUGAAGUUUCAGGUUUAACAUCCGGAGCUAUUCAAUUAUCAGGCGCUUUCCCCACACAGUAAACACAUGGCCAACGCUUGUAAACCCAUAGAUUCAGGAUUUGGGGGGACAUUUACUAA